rnacentral:rRNA from 1 species
UACGUAGGGUGCGAGCGUUGUCCGGAAUUAUUGGGCGUAAAGAGCUCGUAGGCGGUUUGUCGCGUCUGCUGUGAAAACUGGGGGCUCAACCCCCAGCCUGCAGUGGGUACGGGCAGACUAGAGUCCGGAAGAGGAGAGUGGAAUUCCUGGUGUAGCGGUGAAAUGCGCAGAUAUCAGGAGGAACACCAGCGGCGAAGGCGGCGCUCUGGGCCGGUACUGACACUGAGGAGCGAAAGCGUGGGUAGCAAACAGG